UACACCCAUGUGCGGAUUUGCAUAAUGCUUGUAUAUUAUAGUGUUGUUAUCUGUGCGUAUACAUUAGCACUCAGAAGAGUUACGCACUCGUGCUCGUGCACAUACAGGGCUUUGAGACGUCACCUGCUUAGCACUUCUUACAACGGACUAGCAUCGAGGACAGAAGUUUUUUCUCUUUCUGCUGCCUUGGAAGAACUUAUGCGAAGCAGUGAUGAAGAAAAUGUCGAGGAUACCGAAGAAGAAAGUGUUUGCAGUGUCGAUUUGGAACAAGAGGAAAUGUUUUUACACGGUCUAGAUCGGGAUGCUGACACUUCUGAUGAAGAGUGGUUACCAGAGGCCUCUGGACCACAGACUAAUCAUUCCUGCCUUUCUAAACAUCUUCACCUGCGUUCACCUGUGCCAAGGGAAGAGGAAAGAAAAGGACACAGAUAGAAUCUCCAUCUGACUCACGCAGUACUGUAUGGUUGGUGAAAAUACAAUGCUGAAAAGAAAACUGUACUUUGAGGCAGACUGUUGACAGAUUAUUGUAAGAUAGUAUUGUGAAUGUGUGCAAAUGGCAUCACUAGAACAGGUCUGAUGGUACAUUACUCUGCUAUUCAUAAUCCUAAAGUGUGAACUUUGUUUAUGAAUAGAGCAGGCAUGAUGGUACAUUACUCUGAUAGCCAUAAUCCUAAAGUGUGAAUUUUGUGUAUGAAUACAGCAGGCAUAAUGGGACAUUACUUUGCUAUUCAUAAUCCUAAAGUGUGAAUUUUGUGUAUGAAUAGAGCAGGGAUGAUGGUACAUUACUCUGAUAGCCAUAAUCCUAAAGUGUGAAUUUUAUGUAUGAGUACAGCAGGGAUGAUGGGACAUUACACUGCUAUUCAUAAUCCUAAAGUGUGAAUUUUGUGUAUGAAUAGAGCAGGCAUGAUGGUACAUUACACUAAUAGUCAUAAUCCUAAAGUGUAAAUGCAAUACUUUGUAAAUAGUUUGUAUUUUUGACUCGUGUCACAGCACUGCCAAGCUAUGUGCAAUACUUUAUCACAGUUUGUUGAUAACUACUAUAUUGUAAACAUAUAAAAACCUAUACAUAAAUUUGUUCUUUAAUGUUGUACAUUUUCCUAAACCAUGCAAAAUUAUGUAAGUAAAUAAAGACAUUGUUUCAUUUUA